AUACGGAGGAUCCGAGCGUUAUCCGGAUUUAUUGGGUUUAAAGGGUGCGCAGGCGGCCAUUUAAGUCAGCGGUGAAAGUCUGUGGCUCAACCAUAGAAUUGCCGUUGAAACUGGGGGGCUUGAGUAUGUUUGAGGCAGGCGGAAUGCGUGGGGUAGCGGUGAAAUGCAUAGAUAUCAAGCAGAACCCCGAUUGCGAAGGCAGCCUGCCAAGCCAUGACUGACGCUGAUGCACGAAAGCGUGGGGAUCAAACAGGAUUAGAUACCCUGGUAGUCCACGCAGUAAACGAUGAUCACUAGCUGUUUGCGAUACACUGUAAGCGGCACAGCGAAAGCGUUAAGUGAUCCACCUGGGGAGUACGCCGGCAACGGUGAGACUCAAAGGAAUUGACGGGG
rnacentral:rRNA from 1 species